GUGGGGAAUAUUGGACAAUGGGCGAAAGCCUGAUCCAGCCAUGCCGCGUGUGUGAAGAAGGUCUUCGGAUUGUAAAGCACUUUAAGUUGGGAGGAAGGGCAGUAAGUUAAUACCUUGCUGUUUUGACGUUACCGACAGAAUAAGCACCGGCUAACUUCGUGCCAGCAGCCGCGGUAAUACGAAGGGUGCAAGCGUUAAUCGGAAUUACUGGGCGUAAAGCGCGCGUAGGUGGUUUUGUACGUUGGAGGUGAAAUCCCCGGGCUCAACCUGGGAACUGCCUCCAAAACUGCAUGACUAGAGUACGGUAGAGGGUAGUGGAAUUUCCUGUGUAGCGGUGAAAUGCGUAGAUAUAGGAAGGAACACCAGUGGCGAAGGCGACUACCUGGACUGAUACUGACACUGAGGUGCGAAAGCGUGGGGAGCAAACAGGAUUAGAAACCCGAGUAGUCC
rnacentral:rRNA from 1 species